CCUCGCCGGAGAGGCAGGCGGUAGCUCUGGCUUAAAGCACCACUAGGCGUGAGCGUCAGAACAGAGAAGAGGGGGAGAGUCAAUGGAAUGUGACAACGUAGGUGCAUCAAAGGCAAGGAAAAGAGGGAGAGAACAAUGGGCGAGAGGUAGAGCCCGGGCGAAUCAGCGGCUGAGCCACCCGGACGACUUUCAAGGAAAAAGAUGAAAAUGGAAGCAGUUCUAUAAGGGAUGGUCCUUGAAAGUAAGGGAUGCUCCCUGAAGGGCUGAAGUGGUAUCGGUGACACUUUUCUUGUCUCCCCAGAGGGUCAGGAGGUGCCUUGAAUCUACAUCUAAGUCAUGCACCUCUCAUGAAGAAAUGAAGAUAGAAUGGAGAACAAUAAGAGAAGUCCAAACCUUGUUGCAAAUGAAUCCCCAAAAAACCAGAAGCUCCAUCUAAAAGUUAUGGAUUUAUAGUAAACAAAAUGCCUACAAGAAAAGUGAAUGCUGCUUUAAAAGAAAACCUUGGAAACAAAGGUGUUGAGAGUAAUAGCUGCUUUGUGGCUAUAAAAUUAAGACUGAGCUGAUUUUUCUUUGUUCUCUGGAGCUAGCAGGAUGACAAGUUAAGAUCGGUUAAGACCAGAAAAGAAAUGCUAUAAAGGAAAUAAGUUUUACUGAAUCGAAAAAAAAUGUGACAUGACUGAAAGGACAGUUUUAGUUAUACGCUAUUGCUAACAUGGAUGCUUGUUGCACAGUGACAUCUAGUGGUCUGAGAUGGCUACUACACAAAGAGAUGUAAUGCUGGAAUUUCAACAGCAGUCAAAUAUGUCAGAUCAAGAAUACAAAGUCUAAAAUCAGAAAUGGAUUCUAUAAAAAGUACUGUUCAAAACAUACCAGCAGCAAUGAAUGAAAUAUUGAAGGAUAUUAAAGAAAUAAAGAAUGAUCUUAAGAUAAGUGGUCAGUUGGAAGAGGAUGUAAAGCUAGUAAAGGAAGAAAUUAAAGAUCUGGGGAAAAAGAGUUAUCUCAGUUCGAAUGGAAUCCAAAGCACAUGAAUCCAUACUUCAAUUGGUGUAUCAGACUGGAGAAAAGGUUUUAAGGCUGAUAAAAGUUGCAGAGGAGCAAGAUAACCUUUUAAAAAAGUUUUCCUAGUUUUUGACCAAAUUUAUAAUUAUACAAGAUGAAGAGUUGGCUGCAAAGAUUGAAAAAGUAUACAGAGUAAACUCCAAAAACCCCCAAACACAGGGACUCUGUAGAGACAUUGUCAUUGUCUUCUAUGCAAAAGACACUGCACAUCAAAUUAUGGAGGCCCAUUGAAAAUCAGUGGUCAAUAUGGACAACAAAGACAUCAUCAUCAUGAGGGAAAUUCCCUUGAGGAUCCUGCAGAAGCAAAAAAACUAUAUUUUACUAGAAGGCACUUUAAGAAAGAAACAAAUAAAGUUCACUUGGCUUAAAUAGGAAGGAUUUCUCUUUACAUACAGAGGAUAGUCACAGAGAAUCACCUCUGCAGCAAACAGCGAAGAAUUCUAUAAGACAAACAUCAAAAAGUUUACUUAAAAUAUCUAGUGAAACAGCUGAAAUGUUGAUAAAAAUCAGUAGAACAGUAGAAUGCUAGAUAUUAAUAAAAAGAAGAUUGUCAGAUAAUAGCCUUAAGUAUUAAAUUAGUAGGUCAGAAGGAUAAG